rnacentral:misc_RNA from 1 species
GAAAUGCGAUAAGUAAUGUGAAUUGCAGAAUUCAGUGAAUCAUCGAAUCUUUGAACGCACAGUGCGCCCGCCAGUAUUCUGGCGGGCAUGCCUGUUCGAGCGUCAUUUCAACCAUCAAGCCCCCGGCUUGUGUUGGGGACCUGCGGCUGCCCGCAGGCCCUGAAAAACAGUGGCGGGCUCGCUGUCACACCGAGCGUAGUAGCAUACAUUCUCGCUCAGGGCGUGCUGCGGGUUCCGGCCGUUAAACGACCUUCAUAACCCAAGGUUGACCUCGGAUCAGGUAGGAAGACCCGCUGAACUUAAGC